UCCGUGCAGAGGACGCCCCAGCCCGGCGCGGCGGCGGCUCCGUGGCUCACUGCCCCCUCCCGCGCCGGGCUCCUUGAGCGCCUCGGCCUCCUCGCGCCGCCCGGCGCCGCGGGCACGGGCUCCUGAGAAGCGUGGCGAGGCCCCGGGCCUGCGGCGGUUCGCGGGCGAGUGCGGAGGCGGCAGCCCGGUGAGCCGCAGGAAUGGGCGCGGGGGCGCCGCCCCCCAGCGAUGCGGAGAACUGGGGUCUCUCUCUCUCUUUCAGGAUUGGAAACGCACGCCACACUCACCUGCUCAACUGAGAAAGCAUUACCAUGCCAGGUAAAGGGAAAAGAAAAGGCCGGGGCAAGUCCCAUGGGAAGAAGCAGAAGAAACCGGAAGUGGACAUCCUCAGCCCCGCGGCUAUGCUGAACCUCUACUACAUUGCCCACAACGUCGCCGACUGCCUGCACCUGCGUGGCUUCCGCUGGCCAGGCGCUACCAAGUCAAAGAAGGGGAAAAACAAGACUUAAGCGAGAGCGUUUCCCAGCUUCUCUCUGCCACAGUGAACAGAACUUGGGGAAGAGAAAUCAGGCUAAUACCACUGUUGCAAGCAGAAUAGACUUUACUGAAGACAAUUUGAGAUACAAGCUAAGUGUGCUUUUCUAAGAUCUUCCCACCUUCUGCACCUUUCUUUUAAACUUGGCUGACCCUGAGUUUUGGAGUUGGUGCUGGAAAUGUGCCUUGGGCGUUCUGCUGAUGAUAUUCUGGGAUCUCCCCAGCCUGUGUGGAGACACUUAAGAGAGAAAACUGCAGUUGGUUCUGCUCGGCCCCAAAUGUGAAACUUGGAAGGAAAGGCGUUUUUAAGUGCCUGGGAAACAGGGCCACCUUCCCACUCUGCUGAGAUUGCUGGGCUGGAUCCGAGCAGUUUCUGUUUGUGCACGCACCAACUCUAGUCCAGUCCUUCUCAAACCUGGGGGUGCACCAUGGUCACCUGAGGACUCCUGAAAGCACAGAUUGCUGGGCCCUACCCAGCAGGAAGGGUGGGGUUCAAGAAUUUGUGUUUCUGCUAACCUCCCAGGUUGUGCUGCUGCCGGACCAGACCCUUGGAGAAGCACUGCUCUAGUUCAUGCUGCCUCACCAGAUGCUGAACGACUUGAUGAAUCUUUGAACUUAUAGGAUGUCUAAGGCCCUCCUCUGCCUUACCUGGGUUCAGGAGCUCAUGUCUGAGCUGUUAUGUUUAUUGGAACGUUGGGGAGGUGGCACCUGCAUUGCUGUCUUCUGAUCUUAUCCGCAGCAGAAUAGCAUUGCUGAGGGGAGGACAGACAUGCCAGUGAGCAGACUUUUACAGGCUUAGGAGAUCACCUGGAGGUGGCAAUGCCUUCUUCUUUUGAGAUGGUUAAAUGAUGAGCAGAAAGGACCUUAAGCAUUGGAAUAAGGAAGUACCAACCUGAUUGGAUGGGGUGCUGUGUUCUCGGGGUCUCCACCCAGGUUUUAGCAGAGUGGCUAAAGGCUAUUAGUAUUGUCCUCAUUGCAGCAGUGGGGUUCUGAGAAGCUAUUAGGAAUUCUGAGUUAAAUAGCUAUGGUGGUGGUGUAGUGAGUGCAUGACAUGAACUAUCACGCAAGCCAUGUAAAAGUUGUGGCACGUUUUAUUUCAAGAGAAGUUCAAUUUUUUUGGUGAAACACUCCAUUUAAAACUUUCUUCAACAAAAGUAUCUCAUUUUAACAAUUUAUUGAGUAUGUCCUAUGCUUGGCACUAGGAGGAUAAGACAGGGUUCCUACCCUUCAGGUGCUCCCAGCCUGGUGAAAGGGGCCGACACCCAGGUUCCGUUGU